rnacentral:tRNA from 1 species
GGUGGCAUGGCCAAGUGGUAAGGCGGGAGCCUGCAAAGCUUCUAUCCCCGGUUCGAAUCCGGGUGCCACCU